AUGAAAAAGUGUCUCUUUUUUGGUGCCUGGGCAAUCUGGAAGCAAUCUCUCUUCUCUCCACAUUCUCAGUGCAGCCAACCCCCCUGUCUCAAGGCAACACUGUCACAGGAAUAUUCUCCUCGUCUGUCGCUAUCUAAUGAGGAAGAGAAGAACCACAACGAGAGAGAAUCAAAGGCAAGUUUGCGUGAGCUAAAAAGGAGGAAUGACCCUCAGCAACUAGAGGGGAUGGACCUCACCCACGUGAGUGAGGGGAAACAGAGAUCCACAUGAAUCCCAUAGCAGAUGCAUCAGCCCUGGGUGACACGGUCACUGUGGAUGUGUGCGUGCGUGAGCAUAACAUUCACUAGGCCACUUAGUUUUGCUUUAACCACACAGAUUGUAAUGACUGAAUGCUGUCUUCUUAUAAUAUGCACCAUUUAUAAUAUUUACCAUUUAUAAUAUUUACCAUUUAUAAUAUUUACCAUUUAUAAUAUUUACCAUUUAUAAUAUUUCCCAUUUAUAAUAUUCACCAUUUAUAAUAUUUACUAUUUAUAAUAUUUACUAUUUAUAAUAUUUACCAUUUAUAAUAUUCACCAUUUAUAAUAUUUACUAUUUAUAAUAUUUACUAUUUAUAAUAUUUACCAUUUAUAAUAUUCACCAUUUAUAAUAUUUACUAUUUAUAAUAUUCACUAUUUAUAAUAUUCACCAUUUAUAAUAUUUACCAUUUAUAAUAUUCACCAUUUAUAAUAUUUACCAUUUAUAAUAUUUACCAUUUAUAAUAUUCACCAUUUAUAAUAUUUACCAUGUAUAAUAUUUACCAUGUAUAAUAUUUGUGUAUGUGUGAGUUAAGUUCUGUUUGGUCCAGUACAUGUGCCAUCCCAUUCAACAGUACAAUGUCAAUGUUUGUAUCUCGGCCUUCUUUUUUCAUUUGGAAAAUAAUAAACAUAUCAUAAAAAAAAUUAAACAGCAGUCCUGGGUGGGGUUCCUUCGUGUGAGUGUGUUUGAGUGUGAGAGUAUGCGUGUUCGCAUUUGAGAGAGUAUCCGUAUGUUUGAGUGUUGGCGGAGGAAGUGUGUGUGUGUGUGUGUGUCUGUGUGCGUGUGUGUGUGUGUGUGCAAUCGAGCGUAUGCAUGUACAUAUAGAGUUUGUGCCUGUAUGUUCCACUGACAGUGUGUGUGUGUGUGUGUGUGUGUGUGUNNNNNNNNNNUCCAGUACAUGUGCCAUCCCAUUCAACAGUACAAUGUCAAUGUUUGUAUCUCGGCCUUCUUUUUUCAUUUGGAAAAUAAUAAACAUAUCAUAAAAAAAAUUAAACAGCAGUCCUGGGUGGGGUUCCUUCGUGUGAGUGUGUUUGAGUGUGAGAGUAUGCGUGUUCGCAUUUGAGAGAGUAUCCGUAUGUUUGAGUGUUGGCGGAGGAAGUGUGUGUGUGUGUGUGUGUCUGUGUGCGUGUGUGUGUGUGUGUGCAAUCGAGCGUAUGCAUGUACAUAUAGAGUUUGUGCCUGUAUGUUCCACUGACAGUGUGUGUGUGUGUGUGUGUGUGUGUGU
rnacentral:lncRNA from 13 species